rnacentral:rRNA from 1 species
CCCUUAGAUGUUCUGGGCCGCACGCGCGCUACACUGACGAAGUCAGCGAGCAUCUCCUACGCCGAAAGGUGCGGGGAAUCUUGUGAAACUUUGUCGUGCUGGGGAUUGAUUUUUGAAAUUCUUGAUCAUCAACGAGGAAUUCCUAGUAAGCGCAAGUCAGCAGCUUGCGUUGAUUGCGUCCCUGCCCUUUGUACACACCGCCCGUCGCUACUACCGAUUGAAUGGUUUAGUGAGAUUUUUGGACUGGAACUCUCUUGUUCAGCAAUGAACGAGAGGGACUCUGGGAAGCUAUUCUAACUGUAUCAUUUAGAGGAAGUAAAAGUCGUAACA